UUUGACAUUUUGACCUCAAAUCAGGUAGGACUACCCGCUGAACUUAAGCAUAUCAAUAAGCGGAGGA
rnacentral:rRNA from 1 species